rnacentral:snRNA from 1 species
AUACUUACCUGGCAGGGGAGAUUCCAUGAUCAUGAACGUGGUUUUCCCAGAGUAAGGCUUAUCCAUUGCACUCUGGAUGUGCUGACCCCUGCGGUUUCCCCAAAUAUGGGAAAUUUGCAAAAAAA